GGGAGGAGAACUGCCGGACCCUCAGAAACCUGGAAAAUUAAGUAUCCAAAGCAAACGCUAGAGAAGCAGUAUUAAGAUGUUGCAUUGAUAGAAAAUUCACUUCAAAUCAAGGAAAGUGGAUCCGCCCUCAAAGCCUCCGCCCCGGCGAGUGUAUGUUGCUCCUCAGGCUUCAGAGAUGCAGAGCUCGAGCUCACCACAACCACCUCUGAGCAUCCCAAGACAUGAUGGUGAGAGCUCAAGCAGCCAUCUUGCACCAUGAGCUGGAAGCUGUGUGUUGAGGAUGGCAGAGGAACACAUUAGAAGUCUGGGUUCCUGAUGACCACGGAGCUGCCAUUCCAAAAUGGGACCACCUACCUAGAAUUUUACCUGAGAGAAAAUGAAGCCUCUAUCUGUUUAAGCCACUGGUAUUCUGGGUUUUCCACUCCUCAUAGCCAAACCUAAUCCAUACAACUAAUGUAAGUGAGAAAAAAAAAGAUACAAAUAUACAGAGUCAGUAAUAAACUUAACACAAAAAUAUAUAGAAUAAAA
rnacentral:lncRNA from 1 species